rnacentral:snRNA from 1 species
AACCGCAUCAGGUCUCCA